rnacentral:rRNA from 1 species
CCCCAGACUCCUACGGGAGGCAGCAGUGGGGAAUAUUGCACAAUGGGGGAAACCCUGAUGCAGCGACGCCGCGUGAGUGAAGAAGUAUUUCGGUAUGUAAAGCUCUAUCAGCAGGGAAGAAAAAAGACGGUACCUGACUAAGAAGCCCCGGCUAACUACGUGCCAGCAGCCGCGGUAAUACGUAGGGGGCAAGCGUUAUCCGGAAUUACUGGGUGUAAAGGGUGCGUAGGUGGCAUGGUAAGUCAGAAGUGAAAGCCCGGGGCUUAACCCCGGGACUGCUUUUGAAACUGUCAUGCUGGAGUGCAGGAGAGGGAAGCGGAAUUCCUAGUGUAGCGGUGAAAUGCGUAGAUAUUAGGAGGAACACCAGUGGCGAAGGCGGCUUACUGGACUGUCACUGACACUGAUGCACGAAAGCGUGGGGAGCAAACAGGAUUAGAUACCCCAGUAAAC